GGCGUUGACACCGCGCCCCACACCCUGACCAGGUUCACCCGUGGGUGGGUGGCGAGCUAGCGGCAUUCAGAAGAGCGAGGCCCGCAGUCUGUGCAGAAGACACCUGCACUCGGGCGUGUGUGGCGGCACAAUUCACAAGCAGCUCCAGAUGUUAGUACAAAGAGAAGCCAGGGAGUUCCCAACGCCCCAGGUGUCCUCAGCCCACGACUGGCUGCUGUGGGAAUGCGAAGCCCGGCUCCUUGUCUCAGAGCGGGACAACCAGGAGGUGUGAUGUACACCCCGGGGUUCCCAGGAGGAUCAGGCUGAAGCUGGGACUUGGCCUCAAAGUGUCCCCUCGCAUGGCCACCCCCUUCCCCUUCCUGCUCCUCUACUCCUGGUGCCCCUCCAUCCAGGGGCCAGACCUUAAAGAGUCACCCGCAAGAGAAUCCUGGUCCCAAAGGAGCCUUCUGGGGGACCCGUGCUGAGAGAGGUUGUGGGCAUGGCCCGCUGGGGCUCUGCCCGACCCAGGGCUGAGAGAUGCAACCUCCCAGCUCUGGGUCCCUGCAGGAAGUGUUGGCAAGCACAGGGCCAGUCCUCCAAAGGCCCAGGUGCAGGGAGCCCAGGCCAAGCAGCCCGUGGAAGAAGCCACAUGCCGUGCCACCCCGGGAACACGACUGCAGGUCACGGCCCCCCCCUUCCUCCUCCUCCUCCUCCUCCUCCUGCUCCUCCACCCCCCCCCGACCUCCCACCCCCCCACCCCCGACAUGGCGCAGGGCUCAGAGACACCUCAGACACUUGCUACCCAAAGUGCAAAGGGCAUCAGUUGCUCCUCCAACCCCCCCCCCAGCAGACCACGUUGUCCAGCCAGCCCCCGGGCCUCCCUGGGGUGCCCAGCACAAAAGUGCAGACACCCACCGGACCCUCAAUCUCAGUUUUCGGAUGUUUUUGCCACUCUAAGGACCCGCAGGCCAGCUGGGCCUUCGGGCAGGACAGAGAGCCCCGGAAUCCGACGUGGAGAGCUGCGUGUACGUCCCCAGUCCCCACCUCCGCGGCUCUCCCCUUGCGGGGAGCGGCAGCCCAGCCGGCAGCCGCAGGGCCUCAGGGAAGACACCAGGCUGGGCCCCCGCGGCACAGCGGGGGCACGUCCCCCGCACUCACCGCGACUUAGGGACGGCUGCUGGAGACUGCUGCGGCCACCCUGCUGCCGGGUUUCUGGAGGGCUUCCUGGAAGCAGCCUCCACACCAAGCCCUUGGAAGGCCCAGGCGACGGAGGAGCCGGUCAGGCAGGGGCCGAGGACGGUGAGAGGCCGGGCGGGAAGGAGCGUGUCAGGCAGGGGCAGAGGACGGUGAUGGGCCUUCAGGCAGGACAGAGAGCCCCGGAAUCCGAUGUGGAGAGCUGGGUGUAUGUCCCCAUCAGGAGGCUCUCCCCUUGGGGGGAGCGGCGGCAGCCCCAGGGCCUCAGGGAAGACACCGGGCUGGGACCCUGCGGCACAGCGGGGCUCGUCCCAGGCAGGCGACUUAGCGAUGCCUGUGCCAGACUGCUGCGGCCGCCCUGCUGCCGGGUUCCUGGAGGGCUUCCUGGAAGCAGCGUCCACACCAAGCCCCUGGAAGGCCCAGGCGACGGAGGAGCCUGUCAGGCAGGGGCCGAGGACGGUGACAGGCCGGGCGGGAAGGAGCCGGUCAGGCAGGGGCCCAGGACAGUGACGGGCCUGGCCGGGGAGGAGCGAGUCAGGCAGUGGCCGAGGUGGUGGGCCGGGCGGAGAGGAGCCUGUCAGGCAGGGGCAGAGGACGGUGACG
rnacentral:lncRNA from 1 species